ACGGAAGGCAGCAGUGAGGAAUAUUGGUCAAUGGGCGAGAGCCUGAACCAGCCAAGUCGCGUGAAGGAUGAAGGUUCUAUGGAUUGUAAACUUCUUUUGUUCGAGGGUAAAGUGACUUACGUGUAGGUUAUUGCAAGUAUCGAACGAAUAAGCAUCGGCUAACUCCGUGCCAGCAGCCGCGGUAAUACGGAGGAUGCGAGCGUUAUCCGGAUUUAUUGGGUUUAAAGGGUGCGUAGGCGGGAUGUUAAGUCAGCGGUGAAAGUUUGCGGCUCAACCGUAAAAUUGCCGUUGAAACUGGCGUUCUUGAGUGUAAACGAGGUAGGCGGAAUGUAACGUGUAGCGGUGAAAUGCUUAGAUAUGUUACAGAACCCCGAUUGCGAAGGCAGCUUACCAGCAUACAACUGACGCUGAGGCACGAAAGCGUGGGUAUCAAACAGGAUUAGAUACCCUGGUA
rnacentral:rRNA from 1 species